UCAGUACAAUAAAAGGGGCAAAAUUAAAUGUUUUAACUGGAUAAGAAUCUCAAAUUAAUUACACUGGUCAUCAAUUUAGCCUUCGUGUGGAAGCAUGGCAGAUGCAGAAGAUGCUGAAGAAGAUGUGGUGAACUGGGAAGAAUUAGUGUUGUAACUGUAACUUGAAGAUUUGUUCAUCCCUCCUUCAGAAUCUGCAAGGCCAUAGGACAUUAUUGAAAGUGAAGAUGCAGGUAUUGGCGGGGCGAAAUAUGACGGCACGGGCAUCUUUGAUGGGAGAAUAGGCAAUGGAGCAUC
rnacentral:lncRNA from 1 species